UCCUCGAUGGCUCAGUGGCUAGAGCGUCGGACUAGUUAUUCGGAGAUUGCGGGUUCGAAUCCCGCUCGGGGAG